AUUGAACGCUGGCGGCAGGCCUAACACAUGCAAGUCGAACGAGUGGCGGAAGGGUGGGUAAUGUCUGGGCAACGGCGCGAUGGAGGGGGAUAGCUACUGGACACAGUAGCUAAUUCCGCAUCACAUGGGCUAUGCCAAGAUGGGAUUAGCUAGGGGGUGGGGUAAAGGCUCACCUAGGCGACGAUCCCUAGCUGGUCGGAGAGGAUGACCAGACACACUGGAACUGAGACACGGUCCAGACGCCUACGGGAGGCAGCAGUGGGGAAUAUUGGACAAUGGGCGAAAGCCUGAUGCAGCCAUGCCGCGUGUAUGAAGAAGGCCUUCGGGUUGUAAAGUACUUUCAGUGAGGAGGCGUUACUCGCAGAAGAAGCACCGGCUAACUCCGUGCCAGCAGCCGCGGUAAUAC
rnacentral:rRNA from 1 species